rnacentral:rRNA from 1 species
UACGUAGGGGCAAGCGUUGUCCGGAAUCAUUGGGCGUAAAGAGCUCGUAGGCGGUUUGUCGCGUCUGCUGUGAAAACUCGGGGCUCAACCCGGGCUUGCGGUCGAUACGGGCAGGCUGGAGUUCGGUAGGGGAGACUGGAAUUCCUGGUGUAGAGGUGAAAUUCGUAGAUAUUGGGAAGAACACCGGUGGCGAAGGCGGCUCUCUGGACCGAGACUGACGCUGAGGCGCGAAAGCGUGGGGAGCAAACAGG